rnacentral:rRNA from 1 species
UACAACUUUCAGCNACGGAUCUCUUGGCUCUCGCAUCGAUGA